GAUGAACGCUGGCGGCGUGCCUAAUACAUGCAAGUCGAGCGAACGGACGAGAAGCUUGCUUCUCUGAUGUUAGCGGCGGACGGGUGAGUAACACGUGGAUAACCUACCUAUAAGACUGGGAUAACUUCGGGAAACCGGAGCUAAUACCGGAUAAUAUUUUGAACCGCAUGGUUCAAAAGUGAAAGACGGUCUUGCUGUCACUUAUAGAUGGAUCCGCGCUGCAUUAGCUAGUUGGUAAGGUAACGGCUUACCAAGGCAACGAUGCAUAGCCGACCUGAGAGGGUGAUCGGCCACACUGGAACUGAGACACGGUCCAGACUCCUACGGGAGGCAGCAGUAGGGAAUCUUCCGCAAAGGGCGAAAGCCUGACGGAGAAACGCCGCGUGAGUGAUGAAGGUCUUCGGAUCGUAAAACUCUGUUAUUAGGGAAGAACAUAUGUGUAAGUAACUGUGCACAUCUUGACGGUACCUAAUCAGAAAGCCACGGCUAACUACGUG
rnacentral:rRNA from 1 species